AUGCGAUACUUGGUGUGAAUUGCAGAAUCCCAUGAACCAUCGAGUCUUUGAACGCAAGUUACGCCCCAAGCCGUUAGGUUGAGGGCACGUCCACCUGGGCAUCACCAGCUGUGCGUGCACUGGGUGCGGCUAGCCAAAAACCAAGCCACGGGCGUGAGCGGCCUGGCGAGCGGUGGCGGAAAAAAGGCCUCGUGCUCGCGUCGGGCGGGGCGCAUCCCAUUGCGCUCUCCGACCCUUCCGCAGGGCCGCGCCUGCGAUACGCGAGCCCAGGUCAUGCGAAACCACCCGCUGAGUUUAAGCAUAUCAAUAAGCGGAGGAGAAGAAACUAACGAGGAUUCCCCUAGUAACAGCGAGUGAACCGGGAAGAGCCUAGCUUGAGAAUCGGGCGCCCCCGGUGCACGAAUUGUAGUCUGAAAAAAGCGUCA
rnacentral:rRNA from 1 species